rnacentral:rRNA from 1 species
GGAAUCUUCGGCAAUGGGGCGAACCCUGACCGAGCAACGCCGCGUGAGUGAAGAAGGUUUUCGGAUCGUAAAGCUCUGUUGUAAGAGAAGAACGUGUGUGAGAGUGGAAAGUUCACACAGUGACGGUAACUUACCAGAAAGGGACGGCUAACUACGUGCCCG